AUAAUUUGAUCGAAAAGGGACGGCAUGCUGAGGUGUACAAAAGACAGUUUGCUGAUGGACAGUUUGCUGAAGGAGUACUUAACCAAGCAUGCUGAGGUCCCGGUUGGUAUACUGCCAGCAGCCUUGCCGGUCCAAGCAAUCAAGAUCAUCAGCAAGUCAAUAACGGAGACGGUCGAGCACUGUCAUCACACUAAACCUGCAACACCAGUGAGAUGACUGAAGAUUGGGUUGUGGUUGGAGUGAGAGGAGAAGCAAAUCACUUGACCAGUUGAAUCCUUGGGUGUACAAGACGGCCGAGCUGUGGCAGGUGAAGGAGCCGCUGCCGCUGCCCGCGCCGAAGAAGCGCAACUGCUCCAUGGUGUUCACCCUCAACGAGAUGGAGGAGGCCACCGGCAUGUUCAGCGACAAGAACCUCAUAGGCAAGGGCGGCUUCGGCUGUGUUUACAGGGGCGU